rnacentral:lncRNA from 1 species
AAUGGUGGAUUUAGUCAGGUACAUCGAAAAAGGCUACCUAUUGUCAAAGGUCAGCGGGCUUGUGAUGAGGGACCCGAGCAUAGGUCCGUAGGGGAGUCUUGAUGCCCGACACCGCAUGCCAACUGGUGUGAGAAUUGUCGACUAAUUGCUCGCUACAUGGAGGAAUCAUCACAGGAGUAAAAGUGCACAAUAUAUACAUUAUCAUUUCUCUUU